rnacentral:misc_RNA from 1 species
GCCAUCGCUGCGGAACUGAACAAGAAGUACACGGUCAUUCAGGAUGCCUUCGUGGCCAUGCUGCCGCCGCCGCCGGUCGACGGCCUCGGCACCACCGGCGGCUUCAAGCUCCAGCUCGAAGAUCAGGUGGGGCNNUACGAGGCGCUGGACGAAGCCAAAAAGGCCUUCCUCGCAAAAGCGAUGCAGGCGCCGGAGCUGACCGGAUUGUUCUCGAGCUACAAGGUCGACGUCCCGCAGCUUUACGCGGACAUCGACCGCACCCGCGCGCGUCAGCUCAACGUGCCGAUCACCAGCAUCUUCGAAACGCUGCAGGUUUACCUCGGCUCGUACUACGUCAACGACUUCAACAAAUUCGGCCGCGUCUACUCGGUGCGCGUGCAGGCCGACGGCAAGUUCCGCGCAAGGCCGGAAGAUGUCGGCCAGCUGAAGGUCCGCUCGACCACCGGCGAAAUGAUUCCGCUCUCGGUGCUGUUGAAGCUGCAAUCCGCCGCCGGUCCUGAAAGCGCGAUGCGCUAUAACGGCUUCCUCGCGGCGGACAUCAACGGCAACAACGCGCCGGGCUAUUCCACCGGCCAGGCCCA